AAGCCCCCCCUCUAGCUCAACCACACAAAUAGUACACCAAAACUAAAGAAUUUACUAAACUAAUUAAACUAAAGCAUUUUACAGUCUUAGUAUAGGCGAUAGAAAAGACACUUAGACGCGAUAGAGACCCCAGUACCGUAAGGGAAAGAUGAAAUAGCAGUGAAACAAUCAAAGCGACAGACAGCAAAGAUCAACCCUUGUACCUUUUGCAUCAUGGUUUAGCGAGAACAACCAAGCAAAGUGAACUAAAGUUUGCCCCCCCGAAACCCAAGCGAGCUACUUUCAAGCAGUUAAAGAGAGCGAACCCGUCUCUGUUGCAAAAGAGUGGGAUGACUUGUCAGUAGAGGUGAAAAGCCAACCGAGCUGGGUGAUAGCUGGUUACCUGUGAAACGAAUCUAAGUUCCCCCUUAAUCCUCCCUACCGGACAUCCUGAACCCUAAUGAGAUGAUUAAGAGCUAUUUAAUGGAGGGACAGCUCCAUUAAAAAAGGACACAACCUCGACUAGCGGAUAAUUCUUACUACUGAUCCUACCGUGGGCCCUAAAGCAGCCAUCAAAAAAGAGUGCGUCAAAGCUCCACCACCUAAAAAUACCAAAAUAAGAUGAUUCCCUUAUCACAAACAGGUCAACCUAUGAAUAUAGGAGAAUUAAUGCUAAAAUAAGUAACUCAGGGCCACACCCCUCUAACGGCGCAAGCUUACAUAGAAACAUUAUUAACAGACCUAGACAGAUACAAAAACCCCUACAAGACCACGUAUUAACUAACCCUGUUAACCCGACUCAGGAGCGCCUAUAAGAGCGAUUAAAAUCUGUGAAAGGAACUCGGCAAAUUAAUAAGGCCCGACUGUUUACCAAAAACAUAGCCUUCAGCAAAUUAAACAAGUAUUGAAGGUGAUGCCUGCCCGGUGACUUAGGUUUAACGGCCGCGGUAUCCUAACCGUGCAAAGGUAGCGCAAUCAAUUGUCCCAUAAAUCGAGACUUGUAUGAAUGGCUAAACGAGGUCUUAACUGUCUCUCACAGAUAAUCAGUGAAAUUGAUCUCCCCGUGCAAAAGCGGGGAUGUGAACAUAAGACGAGAAGACCCUGUGGAACUUAAAAAUCAACGACCACCGCGAAUCCUCAAUCAACCCCACUGGGGCCACUACCAUCGCAGAGCCUGGUCGAUAUUUUUCGGUUGGGGCGACCUUGGAGGAGAACAAAUCCUCCAAAAACAAGACCAUACCUCUUUACCUAGAGCUACCCCUCAAAGUGCUAACAGUGACCAGACCCAAUAUAAUUGAUUAAUGGACCAAGCUACCCCAGGGAUAACAGCGCAAUCCCCCUCAAGAGCCCAUAUCGACAGGGGGGUUUACGACCUCGAUGUUGGAUCAGGACAUCCUAAUGGUGCAGCCGCUAUUAAGGGUUCGUUUGUUCAACGAUUAACAGUCCUACGUGAUCUGAGUUCAGACCGGAGCAAUCCAGGUCGGUUUCUAUCUAUGACACACUCUCCCCAGUACGAAAGGACCGGGAAAGUGGGGCCAAUACCACAAGCACGCCCCCCCCCUCUAAGCAGUGAAACCAACUAAACCGUGAAGAGGGCCUUCCCCCACCACUUUCAAUCCUAGAAAAGGACCAG
rnacentral:rRNA from 1 species